GACGAACGCUGGCGGCGUGCUUAACACAUGCAAGUCGAACGGAAAGGCCCUGCUUUUGUGGGGUGCUCGAGUGGCGAACGGGUGAGUAACACGUGAGUAACCUGCCCUUGACUUUGGGAUAACUUCAGGAAACUGGGGCUAAUACCGGAUAGGAGCUCCUGCUGCAUGGUGGGGGUUGGAAGGUUUCGGCGGUUGGGGAUGGACUCGCGGCUUAUCAGCUUGUUGGUGGGGUAGUGGCUUACCAAGGCUUUGACGGGUAGCCGGCCUGAGAGGGUGACCGGCCACAUUGGGACUGAGAUACGGCCCAGACUCCUACGGGAGGCAGCAGUGGGGAAUAUUGCACAAUGGGCGGAAGCCUGAUGCAGCAACGCCGCGUGCGGGAUGACGGCCUUCGGGUCGUAAACCGCUUUCGCCUGUGACGAAGCGUGAGUGACGGUAAUGGGUAAAGAAGCACCGGCUAACUACGUG
rnacentral:rRNA from 1 species